rnacentral:rRNA from 1 species
GAUGAACGCUGGCGGCGUGCUUAACACAUGCAAGUCGAACGGUGAAAGAGAGCUUGCUCUCUGGAUCAGUGGCGAACGGGUGAGUAACACGUGAGCAAUCUGCCCCUGACUCUGGGAUAAGCGCUGGAAACGGCGUCUAAUACCGGAUACGAGCUGCGAAGGCAUCUUCAGCAGCUGGAAAGAACUUCGGUCAGGGAUGAGCUCGCGGCCUAUCAGCUAGUUGGUGAGGUAACGGCUCACCAAGGCGUCGACGGGUAGCCGGCCUGAGAGGGUGACCGGCCACACUGGGACUGAGACACGGCCCAGACUCCUACGGGGGGCAGCAGUGGGGAAUAUUGCACAAUGGGCGAAAGCCUGAUGCAGCAACGCCGCGUGAGGGACGACGGCCUUCGGGUUGUAAACCUCUUUUAGCAGGGAAGAAGCGAAAGUGACGGUACCUGCAGAAAAAGCGCCGGCUAACUACGUG